CCUACGGGAGGCAGCAGUGAGGAAUAUUGGUCAAUGGGCGCGAGCCUGAACCAGCCAAGUCGCGUGAGGGAAGACGGUCCUAUGGAUUGUAAACCUCUUUUGUCGGGGAGCAAAAGACGCCACGCGUGGCGUUCCGAGAGUACCCGAAGAAAAAGCAUCGGCUAACCCCGUGCCAGCAGCCGCGGUAAUACGGAGGAUGAGAGCGUUAUCCGGAUUUAUUGGGUUAAAGGGGUGCGCAGGCGGAAGAUCAAGUCAGCGGGAAAAUUGAGAGGCUCAACCUCUUCGUGCCGUUGAAACUGGUUUUCUUGAGUGAGUGAGAGGUAUGCGGAAUGCGUGGUGUAGCGGUGAAAUGCAUAGAUAUCACGCAGAACUCCGAUGGCGAAGGCAGCAUACCGGCGCUCAACUGACGCUCAUGCACGAAAGUGUGGGUAUCGAACAGGAUUAGAUACCCGAGUAGUC
rnacentral:rRNA from 1 species